rnacentral:rRNA from 1 species
AUUCCGGUUGAUCCUGCCGGAGGCCAUUGCUAUUGGGAUCCGAUUUAGCCAUGCUAGUCGCACGAGUUCAGACUCGUGGCGAAUAGCUCAGUAACACGUGGCCAAACUACCCUUCGGAACACAAUACCCUCGGGAAACUGAGGCUAAUAGUGUAUACCAUACCACCACUGGAAUGAGUGGUAUGCCAAACGCUCCGGCGCCGAAGGAUGUGGCUGCGGCCGAUUAGGUAGACGGUGGGGUAACGGCCCACCGUGCCAAUAAUCGGUAUGGGUCAUGAGAGUGAGAACCCAGAGACGGAAUCUGAGACAAGAUUCCGGGCCCUACGGGGCGCAGCAGGCGCGAAACCUUUACACUGCACGACAGUGCGAUAGGGGGAUCCCAAGUGCACAGGCAUAGCGCCUGUGCUUUUCGGUACCCUAAGGCGGUACCAGAAUAAGGGCUGGGCAAGACCGGUGCCAGCCGCCGCGGUAAUACCGGCAGCCCAAGUGAUGGCCGAUCUUAUUGGGCCUAAAGCGUCCGUAGCUGGCCGCGCAAGUCCAUCGGGAAAUCCACCU